rnacentral:rRNA from 1 species
GAUGAACGCUCGCUACAGGCUUAACACAUGCAAGUCGAGGGGAAACGACAUCGAAAGCUUGCUUUUGAUGGGCGUCGACCGGCGCACGGGUGAGUAACGCGUAUCCAACCUGCCCAUCACUUGGGAAUAACCUUGCGAAAGUAAGACUAAUACCCAAUGAUAUCCCACGAAGGCAUCGGAAUGGGAUUAAAGAUUUAUCGGUGAUGGAUGGGGAUGCGUCUGAUUAGCUUGUUGGCGGGGUAACGGCCCACCAAGGCAACGAUCAGUAGGGGUUCUGAGAGGAAGGUCCCCCACAUUGGAACUGAGACACGGUCCAAACUCCUACGGGAGGCAGCAGUGAGGAAUAUUGGUCAAUGGGCGAGAGCCUGAACCAGCCAAGUAGCGUGCAGGAUGACGGCCCUAUGGGUUGUAAACUGCUUUUAUAAGGGAAUAAAGUGGGUCUCGUGAGACUUUUUGCAUGUACCUUAUGAAUAAGGACCGGCUAAUUCCGUG